CAGGUCUUGAUUUUGAUGUUUUGGAAUUGUUUGCUCUCUUCCUCAGGGUGAAAAGGCUUACAGUCAAGAAGUGAUUUGUUAAUUAAUCGCUGCUGUCUUCUGGGACACAGGGAAUGGAGCCGUUGUUCUGUUAUCGCAGUGCCUGUGUCACACAAGACUCCCUAGGAGUAAUAACCUGCUUGUGAGGCUGUGAUGCAAGAGUUGAGGAAGUGCUUUGCCCUGAAGGUUGUCUUCUCAGAUGUUUCCAGGAACUGAGGAGUGCAGGAUUGCUAGAUAAC
rnacentral:lncRNA from 1 species